UCAUGCGUCACCGGUAGCAAAGUCCGCGCUAGACAAAAGAGUAGAAGACGCGCUACAGUAUUGGGUCGCUGCUUGUUUGUCUCCUAUGCAGAGCGUGAGAAGGAUGUGAUAACUGUGCCUUAUGAGUUGCAGUGUGCAGUACUACUACCUGGUACUAAUUUUUUUCCUUUUUGCUGGGAGGCAACUGCCCAGGUUCGCCCCUGUGAAGCUCUGUCGUUGCAUGCUAGUACUCUGGAUACUAUGUCAACUAGAUUGUUGAUUGUUUGUGUGGGCAAAGCAACCAAAGUUGUUGAUCGGUACCGAGGAAUGUUUAAAGGCUACAUUGGUGUUUCUAGUAUGGAGAAGCAACUUCAACUUGGGAUACAGAUUCACCAGCAUAUGUACAUGCAUCUCAUAGAGGGAGAGCUCUUGCAUGGAUGUAAGACCAUUUUGCUUCAGUCAGUUAUAGAUUUUAGAGUGAUGAUUUGCUUAAAUUCGUUUCCAUUCAUAAAAUCAACAUCCAAUGAAAUAUGA
rnacentral:rRNA from 1 species